UACGUAGGGACCAAGCGUUGUUCGGAUUUACUGGGCGUAAAGGGCGCGUAGGCGGCGCGGUAAGUCAGUUGUGAAAUCUCUGAGCUUAACUCAGAACGGCCAAGUGAUACUGCAGUGCUAGAGUGUGGAAGGGGCAAUCGGAAUUCUUGGUGUAGCGGUGAAAUGCGUAGAUAUCAAGUGGAACACCAGUGGCGAAGGCGAAUCCCUGGAAAAUACCUGACACUGAGGCACGAAAGCUAGGGGAGCAAACAGG
rnacentral:rRNA from 1 species